rnacentral:rRNA from 1 species
CACGGGUGAGUAACACGUAUCCAACCUGCCGUCUACUCUUGACAGCCUUCUGAAAGGAAGAUUAAUACAAGAUGGCAUCAUGAGUCCACAUGUUCACAUGAUUAAAGGUAUUCCGGUAGACGAUGGGGAUGCGUUCCAUUAGAUAGUAGGCGGGGUAACGGCCCACCUAGUCUUCGAUGGAUAGGGGUUCUGAGAGGAAGGUCCCCCACAUUGGAACUGAGACACGGUCCAA